UACAGAGACCUCAAGCGUUAUCCGGAAUCAUUGGGCGUAAAGCGUUCCGAUAGGUUGUUUUGAAAGUCUUGGGUAAAAGCCAGAAGCUUAACUUCUGCGUUUGCUUAAGAUACUGCAAAACUAGAGGGGCAAAGAGGUGUUUGGAACGAAUGGUGUAGUAGUGAAAUGCGUUGAUAUCAUUCGGAACACCGAAAGCGAAGGCAGAGCACUGGGUGCCACCUGACACUGCUAGGACGAAAGCGUGGGGAGCGAAUGGG
rnacentral:rRNA from 1 species